rnacentral:rRNA from 1 species
GUAGGCGGAUGUUUAAGUGGGAUGUGAAAUCCCCGGGCUUAACCUGGGGGCUGCAUUCCAAACUGGAUAUCUAGAGUGCAGGAGAGGAAAGCGGAAUUCCUAGUGUAGCGGUGAAAUGCGUAGAGAUUAGGAAGAACACCAGUGGCGAAGGCGGCUUUCUGGACUGUAACUGACGCUGAGGCACGAAAGCGUGGGUAGCAAACAGGAUUAGAUACCCUGGUAGUCCACGCCGUAAACGAUGGAUACUAGGUGUAGGGGGUAUCAACUCCCCCUGUGCCGCAGUUAACACAAUAAGUAUCCCGCCUGGGGAGUACGGUCGCAAGAUUAAAACUCAAAGGAAUUGACGGGGGCCCGCACAAGCAGCGGAGCAUGUGGUUUAAUUCGAAGCAACGCGAAGAACCUUACCUGGACUUGACAUCCCUUGCAUAGCCUAGAGAUAGGUGAAGCCCUUCGGGGCAAGGAGACAGGUGGUGCAUGGUUGUCGUCAGCUCGUGUCGUGAGAUGUUAGGUUAAGUCCUGCAACGAGCGCAACCCUUGUUAUUAGUUGCUACCAUUAAGUUGAGCACUCUAAUGAGACUGCCUGGGUAACCAGGAGGAAGGUGGGGAUGACGUCAAAUCAUCAUGCCCCUUAUGUCCAGGGCUACACACGUGCUACAAUGGUAGGUACAAUAAGACGCAAGACCGUGAGGUGGAGCAAAACUUAUAAAACCUAUCUCAGUUCGGAUUGUAGGCUGCAACUCGCCUACAUGAAGCUGGAGUUGCUAGUAAUCGCGAAUCAGAAUGUCGCGGUGAAUACGUUCCCGGGCCUUGUACACACCGCCCGUCACACCAUGAGAGCUGGUAACACCCGAAGUCCGUGAGGUAACCGUAAGGAGCCAGCGGCCGAAGGUGGGAUUAGUGAUUGGGGUGAAGUCGUAACAAGGUAGCCGUAGGAGAACCUGCGGCUG